rnacentral:misc_RNA from 1 species
AAGUCGUAACAAGGUUUCCGUAGGUGAACCUGCGGAAGGAUCAUUAACACGUAUCCAAACGUUAAACCCCCCUGUGAACCUUCACCUGUAUCGUACGUCCGUUAGAAAAAGCAGCAAUCCCUGGUAAAUCAUCGCCGAACAGUUUUCGAUUCAGGGACGUCUGCAAGGAGCGCAUGUUGUGCGAAGCAAGUGGCCUAGCAUCCCCAAGCAGUUAGUGACUGAAAGUGUCAUUACCUGUGUAAGGAUGACGCAGUCACGAUCGUUGGAGGCCCACACGGCCGACGACCGGGUCGCUCCCCUAGAACAAAUCCCCUGCCACGCGGUCGACCAAAAACCGAACAACUGUUAACAAUGGAUAUCUUGGUUCUC